CUUAUCACCGCGCGGCUCGCGGGAUAAGAACUCACUUCUUUGAACGCCGUGUUCUUCGUCUUUCUUAGUUCCUUCAACGUAUCGCACUGGUCCGUGGUACAUUGGGAUUACUGCAAGCUGCCCGAGGCGUGACGCCGCUUUUAAUGUAAUAAUGAGCAACAAACCUGCUGUGGAUAUCAUUGUUGCUGCGGCCAAUCCUGACCUCCCCUUAAUCAAACCAAAGUGGUUGAGGGGCAGUAUAACUUGGAUCCCCGUCUCCACCACACCAACACCGCCACCACUGAUUUCGCCAGAGUUUUGAGAAAAUAGGUCAUAUGCUGCUGAUCCAGGCGUAGCCUUCCUCGGAAACAUUGCCCGUCUAUGACGACGAACAAAGAUAAGUCCGUCAACUGUGUGAGAAAUUAAUAGACAACAAUUUUAGUUAAUUAAUGAAGUAUUGGAAUUUAUUUAUUUUCAGAAUUGAUCCGGUGCUAAUUUGAAGGACGAGAAGUUUUUCUUAAUUGUACCUGGCUGUUCACCUGCUCCUCCGCCGCUGAAGUGAGGUUGGGGAUCCUUCUUGGAUGUCUUCCGCUUAGCGUCCUUCACGGCCGACUUGACUUGGUCCUUCACGAUCCUCUUCGCAGGCUUCUUAUCGUCGUCGCCUGAAAACGCAAAUCUCGGAAUUUUGUCGUAUUGUCGCUGCUGCUGCUGCUGCUGCUGCUGCUGCUACUACUCGCGGCUGGUGAUGCUCGAAGGAAUGAAACAAUCUAUACUGGAGAACGAGCGGAUUCUUUUAUAAGCGGAGGAAUAUAUGCGUUUUCACUUCUCUCAUAUCAAUAUGAAUUCAUGGAAAUCUUGUACGAGAUGCAUCCCAUGUGGACUUCAAUUCGCCUCAGCAAGGCGGUUCGAAAAACACGUUGCGAAUCACAGAAGGCCUUUUAGAUUAUAUGUAUGCAAGUUAUGUAAUUUAGAAUUC